AAAGGUCAUAGAAAGGAAGCAGCCUCACCGACAUCAAGGAAAUAGCAACUAUUUACAGACAGCCAGACAUUUCAAAUAAUAGCAUGGCUCCCAGGACCACUUCAAAGGGAACUGGUCAGGAAAUGGACAAGUUAUGAAUUUGAAUACUUCAGAGAUUCCGGAAAUUCAAAAGCAGAGCCUUCAAAUAUUUGCAUUAAGUGACUACAAAUGGAGUGGAACUCAAACUGAAACCACUGUAGGCGGAAGUACUAUUUCCUUGGUUAAGUCAACAAGGAUCAGCGUUUGCAAGACUGCUUACCAUGCACAUCCAUCUGGUUGACUCUGUUUCACCAACAGAUCAUUUCUGGCAGGCUUCCAUUGGAUCCUGGUUGGCGUUGGAGACUGAAGAAAGUUACAACCUUGUGAAAUCUGAACAUCUGCUAGAGUCAUGAAUGACCUUGGGGAUGAGCUCAUCAGCAGCUAAGCCUCUACUGCACAUUCCCUGAGCAGCAGAACGAUCCAUUUCAGGAGCAUAUUUUAUGUGAUGCUGACACCAGCUGCUCUAUGGAGACCUUCAGCUUUUUGCCAGAGUGUAAUUGGCACCCAGGAGUAGGCAGUCUCCAAAGAAUCAAAAAGUAAAUGUGUUUCUCAGUAAGUCUUUAUCUCAAUAUGGAAAAAGCAAUAAAUUGUGAAGAAUCUGAACAGCUAUUCUCUAAAAAUACACACAAACAUUUAUUUUGCUAAGACAUAGCUUAUUGCCAAAAAGGAAGACAACAGAGCUGUCUUUUUAACAAUCUCCAUGUAACUUGUUUUUAAUGCCGAUUAUUUAAAGCUCCUUAAUAUCUAGUGCUGGGCAAUUUAAGAUAUUUAAUCAACAUUUAUUGAUUGAUUCAUUCAUUCAUUUAUCAGACAUUUUUGAGUACUUACUGUAUGUCAGGCAAUAUUCUAGGAAUACAGCAGUAAACAAUGGUGAACAUAAAUUUUCACCUUCAUGGAACUUACACUGUGGCUAUAAGCACGUUUGGAAGAAGUAGAAAUGGUGGAGGAAGCAUAGAUCCAUCAUUUACUUCUUUUAAGUUUCCAAACAUUACCCUAAAUUAGAAAAUUGUACUUUUGAUGUCUAUUGAUUGG